CGAAGUUCGUCCGUCGGACUCGGAAUGGGGCGAGACUUUGCGAGGGGCCUCGGGGCGCCAAAAAUAAGCCGCGGGCAAAGCUGCGCCCAAAAAUAAGCGCCCGAUGGUCGUGGUGCCAAAACCCCCCAGCGGAAAAAUGGCCAAAAAAUGGGUGGGCUAUAGCCUUGGUGGGGGGCGCGGGCGAAGUUCGUCCGCCGGACUCGGAAUGGGGCGAGACUUUGCGAGGGGCCUCGGGGCACCAAAAAUAAGCCGCGGGCAAAGCCGCGCCCAAAAAUAAGCGCCCGAAGGUAGUGGUGCCAAAACCCCCCAGCGGAAAAAUGGCAAAAAAACGGGUGGGCUAUAGCCUUGGUGGGGGGCGCCGGCGAAGUUCGUCCGCCGGACUCGGAAUGGGGCGAGACUUUGCUAGGGGCCUCGGGGCGCCAAAAUAGGCCGCGGGCAAGGCCGCGCCCAAAAAUAAGCGCCAGAAGGUCGUGGUGCCAAAACCCCCCAGCGGAAAAAUGGCCAAAAAACGGGUGGGCUAUAGCCUUGGUGGGGGGCGCGGGUGAAGUUCGUCCUCCGGACUCGGAAUGGGGCGAGACUUUGCGAGGGGCCUCGGGGCGCCAAAAAUAAGCGCCAGAAGGUCGUGGUGCCAAAACCCCCCAGCGGAAAAAUGGCCAAAAAACGGGUGGGCUAUAGCCUUGGUGGGGGGCGCGGGCGAAGUUCGUCCGCCGGACUCGGAAUGGGGCGAGACUUUGCGAGGGGCCUCGGGGCGCCAGAAAUAAGCCGCGGGCAAAGCCGCGCCCAAAAAUAAGCGUCCGAUGGUCGUGGUGCCAAAACCCCCCAGCGGAAAAAUGGCCAAAAACGGGUGGGUUAUAGCCUUGGUGGGGGGCGUGGGCGAGGUUCGUCCGCUGGACUCGGAAUGGGGCGAGACUUUGCGAGGGGCCUCGGGAUGCCAAAAAUAAGCCGCGGGCAAAGCCGCGCCCAAAAAUAAGCGCCCAAAGGUCGUGGUGCCAAAACCCCCCAGCGGAAAAAUGGCCAAAAAACGGGUGGGCUAUAGCCUUGGUGGGGGGCGCGGGCGAAGUUCGUCCGCCGGACUCGGAAUGGGGCAAGACUUUGCGAGGGGCCUCGGGGCGCCAAAAAUAAGCCGCGGGCAAAGCCACACCCAAAAAUAAGUGCCCGAAGGUCGUGGUGCCAAAACCCCCCAGCGGAAAAAUGGCCAAAAAACGGGUCGGCUAUAGCCUUGGUGGGGGGCGCGGGCGAAGUUCGUCCGCCGGACUCGGAAUGGGGUGAGACCUUGCGAGGGGCCUCAGGGCGCCAAAACUAAGCCGCGGGCAUAGCCGUGCCCAAAAAUAAGCGCCCGAUGGUCGUGGUGCCAAAACCCCCCGGCGGAAAAAUGGGCAAAAAACGGGUGGGCUAUAGCCUUGGUGGGGGGCGCGGGCGAAAUUCGUCCGCCGGACUCGGAAUGGGGCGAGACUUUGCGAGGGGCCUCGGGGUGCCCAAAAUAAGCCGCGG
rnacentral:lncRNA from 1 species